GCGCUUGCUUUGGCAGCACAUAGUCUAAAAUUGAAAUGAUACAGAGAAGAUUAGCAUGGCGCCUGCAUAAGAAUGACACGCUAAAGCAAGACCAUCGCGUUGCAUUU
ensembl:snRNA U6 U6 spliceosomal RNA